CUUUUUGUCACAGAAACCUUGGAAAGUCGGGGCUACGUGUUUCCUGCUUGGGUCUUGGUACCUGGGUGACAUUUGGAUCUCAGAUCUCCGAUGAGAUGGCGGAGAGUCUGAUGACUAUAGCCUAUGAGAAUGGAGUGAAUCUGUUCGACACGGCAGAAGUGUACGCUUCAGGCAGGUACGAUUCCCACCGGUGCACUGGAUGUGAGAGCGUGUGCACUGCAUUUUUCUGUAUUUUGUAAAAAAGAAGUGAUCUUAAGGGUAUUGAAUGUAGACUUGUAGUGCGCUUAAAAAAAAGGUUAUUUUUCAUAAAAAUAGCUGUUUUAGAUCACAUAACAUUAAUGAAAUAAAAGGGAACUUGCAGUAAGUGUACUUGUUGUAAAUGUUUCUUAACACACAAGUACGUUCUGAUGUUAUUUUAAAGUGCAUUUAAAAUCUUAGUUUUAAUAAUCUUUGUCGUGAUUUAAAGGAAUAGACAACCCCAAAUUUUGUAUUAGCUGACUAACAUACUUAUACAUAUUAACAUAUGCAGAUAUACACUGUAGGCCUCUAUCCACCUGCAUUACUAAGCUUGGAUGAGCCAGGAUACAUUUUUAAAACUUUUUAAUCUUAUUGGCAGUGCCUGUUUACACUAACUCCGCCCACCGGCGCGUGAUUGGGCUAGUCAUCAUUACACAGGACGGUUACUUGUUAACAACUCCAGUGGUGCAGAUGGUAAAAUAUAUGGUAGUCUUCUUUUUUCUCCCUUUUUAAAUUCAAAUCAAAUCAGAAAAGCAUUCAUUUCCAAUAACAAUGAAGGAAGUAAUCAAAAAGUGGAAAAUAAAGUAUCGUGUAGGUUUAGGACUUUGUCGUCCCAUUAAGGAUGUCAACCACGGCAUUUAUUUAAUAAUUUGAAUUAAAAUUAACAUUCACACUCAAUUAGUUGCAUUCUUUGUUAUAAUGUACUUUAAUACUGAGGUGCAGAUCUCAGUGUAAGUCGUAUAAAUGGCAGAAAAUGUUAUUUGCAGUGUAAAUAGCAUCACUAAAUAAUGCUGCUAAGAAUCAAUUGCUAGUUGCACUUAUAAGAAAAUAUUCUAUUUUCACUUAGUGUCAAUAACAUAUAAUUACGCUAUUUACACAUAAAUAGCAUAUGACAAAAAAAACUGGUAUAAAAAGAAUCCAUUACUACUUGUACUUAGCGUAAAUGGCCGCUGCCUUUUAAAAAAAACUGUGUGACUGUGUUCGUCUGAAAGAGGAAAGUCAUACACAC